GACGAACGCUGGCGGCGUGCUUAACACAUGCAAGUCGAGCGGUAAGGCCCUUUCGGGGGUACGACGAGCGGCGAACGGGUGAGUAACACGUGGGUGACCUGCCCUCCAGCUCUGGGAUAAGCCUGGGAAACCGGGUCUAAUACCGGAUAUGACUCCAUGACGCAUGUUGUGGGGUGGAAAGCCUUGUGCGGCUGAGGAUGGGCCCGCGGCCUAUCAGCUUGUUGGUGGGGUGAUGGCCUACCAAGGCGACGACGGGUAGCCGGCCUGAGAGGGCGACCGGCCACACUGGGACUGAGGCACGGCCCAGACUCCUACGGGAGGCAGCAGUGGGGAAUCUUGCGCAAUGGGCGAAAGCCUGACGCAGCGACGCCGCGUGAGGGAUGACGGCCU
rnacentral:rRNA from 1 species